rnacentral:rRNA from 1 species
AUCCGACCUCAGCUCAGGCGAGACGACCCGCUGAAUUUAAGCCUAUUACUAAGCGGAGGAAAAAAAACUACCAACGAUUUCCUCC